rnacentral:rRNA from 1 species
GACGAACGCUGGCGGCGUGCCUAAUACAUGCAAGUCGAGCGGACCUCUUCGGAGGUCAGCGGCGGACGGGUGAGUAACACGUGGGCAACCUGCCUGUAAGACUGGGAUAACACCGGGAAACCGGUGCUAAUACCGGAUAAUCCUUUUCCUCACAUGAGGGGAAGCUGAAAGACGGUUUCGGCUGUCACUUACAGAUGGGCCCGCGGCGCAUUAGCUAGUUGGUGGGGUAACGGCCCACCAAGGCGACGAUGCGUAGCCGACCUGAGAGGGUGAUCGGCCACACUGGGACUGAGACACGGCCCAGACGCCUACGGGAGGCAGCAGUAGGGAAUCUUCCGCAAUGGACGAAAGUCUGACGGAGCAACGCCGCGUGAGCGAAGAAGGCCUUCGGGUCGUAAAGCUCUGUUGUCAGGGAAGAACACGUACCGGAGUAACUGCCGGUACCUUGACGGUACCUGACCAGAAAGCCACGGCUAACUACGUGCCAGCCGCCGCGGUAAUAC